rnacentral:rRNA from 1 species
GACGAACGCUGGCGGCGUGCUUAACACAUGCGAGUCGAACGGAAAGGCCUGCUUUUGUGGGGUGCUCGAGUGGCGCACGGGUGAGUAAUACGUGAGUAACCUGCCCUUGUAUUUGGGAUAACUUCAGGAAACUGGGGCUAAUACUGGAUAGGAGCUCCUGUUGCAUGGUGGGGGUUGGAUCGUUUCGGCGGUUGGGUAUGGACUCGCGGCUUAUCCGAUUGUUGGUGGGGUAGGGGCUUAACAAGGCUUUGACGGGUAGCCGGCCUGGGAGGGUGACCGGCCACAUUGGCACUGGGAUGCGACCCAGACUCCUACGGGAGGCAGCAGCGAGGAACAUUGCACAAUGGGCGGAAUCCUGAUGCAACAACGCCGCGUCCGGAAUGUCGGCCUUCGGGUAGUAAACCGCUUUCGCCUGUGACGAACCGUGAGUGACGGUAAUGGGUAAAGAAGCACCGGCUAACUACGUG